GUUAUUUAAAUACUAAGACAAACCUCACCCACCCUAGUAGUUUGAUCCUGGCUCAGGACGAACGCUGGCGGCGUGCUUAACACAUGCAAGUCGAGCGGUAAGGCCCUUCGGGGUACACGAGCGGCGAACGGGUGAGUAACACGUGAGCAACCUGCCCCUGACUCUGGGAUAAGCGGUGGAAACGCCGUCUAAUACCGGAUACGACCUUCCACCUCAUGGUGGAGGGUGGAAAGUUUUUUCGGUCAGGGAUGGGCUCGCGGCCUAUCAGCUUGUUGGUGGGGUAACGGCCUACCAAGGCGAUUACGGGUAGCCGGCCUGAGAGGGCGACCGGCCACACUGGGACUGAGACACGGCCCAGACUCCUGCGGGAGGCAGCAGUGGGGAAUAUUGCGCAAUGGGCGAAAGCCUGACGCAGCGACGCCGCGUGGGGGAUGACGGCCUUCGGGUUGUAAACCUCUUUUACCACCAACGCAGGCUCCGGGUUCUCUCGGGGUUGACGGUAGGUGGGGAAUAAGGACCGGCUAACUACGUGCCAGCAGCCGCGGUAAUACGUAGGGUCCGAGCGUUGUCCGGAAUUAUUGGGCGUAAAGAGCUCGUAGGCGGCGUGUCGCGUCUGCUGUGAAAGACCGGGGCUUAACUCCGGUUCUGCAGUGGAUACGGGCAUGCUAGAGGUAGGUAGGGGAGACUGGAAUUCCUGGUGUAGCGGUGAAAUGCGCAGAUAUCAGGAGGAACACCGGUGGCGAAGGCGGGUCUCUGGGCCUUACCUGACGCUGAGGAGCGAAAGCAUGGGGAGCGAACAGGAUUAGAUACCCUGGUAGUCCAUGCCGUAAACGUUGGGCGCUAGGUGUGGGGACUUUCCACGGUUUCCGCGCCGUAGCUAACGCAUUAAGCGCCCCGCCUGGGGAGUACGGCCGCAAGGCUAAAACUCAAAGGAAUUGACGGGGGCCCGCACAAGCGGCGGAGCAUGUUGCUUAAUUCGACGCAACGCGAAGAACCUUACCAAGGUUUGACAUCACCCGUGGACCUGUAGAGAUACAGGGUCAUUUAGUUGGUGGGUGACAGGUGGUGCAUGGCUGUCGUCAGCUCGUGUCGUGAGAUGUUGGGUUAAGUCCCGCAACGAGCGCAACCCUUGUUCCAUGUUGCCAGCACGUAAUGGUGGGGACUCAUGGGAGACUGCCGGGGUCAACUCGGAGGAAGGUGGGGACGACGUCAAGUCAUCAUGCCCCUUAUGUCUUGGGCUGCAAACAUGCUACAAUGGCCGGUACAAUGGGCGUGCGAUA
rnacentral:rRNA from 1 species